rnacentral:rRNA from 1 species
CCUAGUCCGGACAGUUUUGUGAGACAUUAUACCACACUGAUUUUGGAAGCUAAGCAGGGUCAGCGCUGGUCAGCAUUUGGAGGGGAGACUGUCAGGAAAUGCUAGGUACGGGCUCGGA